GGGUUGUGUGCAGCCGCAGCGUCAGCUGUACUGCUGUGCACAUUGAGAGGCCGUCUGAAGCAGUGUUUUGCUUCCCUGUGCCUAGCUCCUCCCACCUCACUCAGCAGCGUGUACCAGCACCACAAGCAGCAGCAGCGGCUUUCCUCUCACUGCUCUUCGGCUCUCACUGGGUGUUCCUGCACUGUGCUGCCCUCCCACACUGUACUGAGGUCGGCUCCCAGUCCAUACAGGAAGGAGCAAGAUAGCCAGGUCAAUGUUUACUACGAUAUGCGGGAUCUUCUGGAGAAAAUGUAAAGUGCCACAUACAGUGAUCAGUUCAUCUCUUUAUAUCUACCUGCUGAUUGAGAGAGCCAGGUAAUAUCACCUACACAAAGAAAGUCGCAAGGGGCGCUUGAACAAUCUGUCUCCAUUCAGCGCCUGACAGCGGGGAGAGUGACCUUUGGAACCCCGUUGGUAUGCAGCUGAGCCUGGCUGACACGCAAGCGCUGAGUCUACUUGGCAACAGUGACGCGUUGGGCGGAAGUGACCUGGCGGCUCGGCACCCGGAAGCAGGAACGCAUGGAGGAGAUACUGCGGCUGGUGCGCUCUAGGGGUAUAUAGUGGGGCAUCCUCACAUCUAAUGCACAUGCAUUUGGAUAUCACAUUCUCUAUUUCACAAUGUGCAUAGCCCCUGUCCAGAAAACAGGCUUCCGUUUCUUUCAGAG